GGUGAACGCUGGCGGCGUGCCUAACACAUGCAAGUCGAGCGGUGCAGUUUGAAGCUUCGGUGGAAAGCUGCAUAGCGGCGGACGGGUGAGGAAAACGUAGGAACGUGCCCCUUGGAGUUGGAUAGCCACGGGAAACUGUGGGUAAACCGACAUAGACUCGAGAGAGUAAAGGCCGAAAGGCGCCAAGGGAGCGGCCUGCGGCCCAUCAGGUAGUUGGUAGUGUAAAGGACUACCAAGCCGACGAUGGGUAGCCGGCCUGAGAGGGUGUACGGCCACACUGGGACUGAGAUACGGCCCAGACUCCUACGGGAGGCAGCAGCUAAGAAUAUUCCGCAAUGGACGAAAGUCUGACGGAGCGACGCCGCGUGGAUGAAGAAGGCCGAAAGGUUGUAAAGUUCUUUUGCUAGGGGAGAAUAAGUGAGGGAGGGAAUGCCCUCAUGAUGACAAGGACUAGCGAAUAAGCCCCGGCCAACUACGUG
rnacentral:rRNA from 1 species